rnacentral:misc_RNA from 1 species
CAACCCUCGAGCCCCCGGGCUUGGUGUUGGGGAUCGGCGCCGCCUCCGUGCGGCCCGCCGGCCCCGAAAUCUAGUGGCGGUCUCGCUGCAGCCUCCUCUGCGUAGUAGAAACACCUCGCACUGGAACGCGGCGCGGCCACGCCGUUAAACAACCCACUAUAUCCAAA